UACAGAGGGUGCGAGCGUUAUUCGGAAUUACUGGGCGUAAAGCGCACGUAGGCGGCUUGGUAUGUCGGGUGUGAAAUCCCCGGGCUCAACCUGGGAACUGCAUCCGAAACUGCCUUGCUCGAGUAUGGGAGAGGGAAGUGGACUUUCCGGUGUAGCGGUGAAAUGCGUAGAUAUCUGGAGGAAUACCGGUGGCGAAGGCGGCAUCCUGGACCGGCAUUGACGCUGAUGAGCGAAAGCCAGGGGAGCAAACGGG
rnacentral:rRNA from 1 species